rnacentral:rRNA from 1 species
GUGGGAAAAGCUCAACUUUGUAAUCUGGCAGCUUCGCUGUCCGAGUUGUAGUCUCGAGAAGUGUUUUCCGCGCUGGAUCGUGUAUGAGUCUGUUGGAAUACAGCGUCAUAGAGGGUGAGAACCCCGUUCGUGACACGACUACCAGUGCUUUGUGAUACAUUUUCGAUGAGUCGAGUUGUUUGGGAAUGCAGCUCAAAUUGGGUGGUAAAUUCCAUCUAAAGCUAAAUAUUGGCGAGAGACCGAUAGCAAACAAGUACCGUGAGGGAAAGAUGAAAAGCACUUUGGAAAGAGAGUUAACAGUACGUGAAAUUGUUGAAAGGGAAACGUUUGAAGUCAGACGUGCGUUGUGCGAUUCAGCUCCGGUUCGCCGGAGUGUAUUUCGUACUAUUGCAGGCCAGCAUCGGUUUGGCGAGCCGGAUAAAGGUUAGAGAAAGGUAGCGGUCCAGGCCGUGUUAUAGUCUUUAACUGAAUACGGAUUGCUAGACCGAGGGACGCACGCGCCGCAAGGCAAAGCUUUCGGGCUUUUCGCGCUUAGGAUGCUGGUGAAAUGGCUUUAAAUGACCCGUC